rnacentral:rRNA from 1 species
UACGAAGGGUGCAAGCGUUACUCGGAAUUACUGGGCGUAAAGCGUGCGUAGGUGGUUUGUUAAGUCUGAUGUGAAAGCCCUGGGCUCAACCUGGGAAUGGCGAUGGAUACUGGCUCGCUAGAGUGCGGUAGAGGAGAGUGGAAUUCCCGGUGUAGCAGUGAAAUGCGUAGAGAUCGGGAGGAACAUCAGUUGCGAAGGCGGCUCUCUGGACCAGCACUGACACUGAGGCACGAAAGCGUGGGGAGCAAACAGG